GAUGAACGCUGGCGGCGUGCUUAACACAUGCAAGUCGAACGGAAAGGCCCAAGCUUGCUUGGGUACUCGAGUGGCGAACGGGUGAGUAACACGUGGGUGAUCUGCCCUGCACUUCGGGAUAAGCCUGGGAAACUGGGUCUAAUACCGGAUAGGACCACUUCUUGGAUGUUGUGGUGGAAAGUUUUUUCGGUGUGGUAUGAGCUCGCGGCCUAUCAGCUUGUUGGUGGGGUAAUGGCCUACCAAGGCGUCGACGGGUAGCCGGCCUGAGAGGGUGUACGGCCACAUUGGGACUGAGAUACGGCCCAGACUCCUACGGGAGGCAGCAGUGGGGAAUAUUGCACAAUGGGCGCAAGCCUGAUGCAGCGACGCCGCGUGGGGGAUGACGGCCUUCGGGUUGUAAACUCCUUUCGCUAGGGACGAAGCGUUUUGUGACGGUACCUGGAGAAGAAGCACCGGCUAACUACGUG
rnacentral:rRNA from 1 species